CAAAACAAAAAAUCAGAAUUGCCAGAGCAAAGUGAUUUUCAUCCCAUUGCUUUCAGGAAUAAAUCUAUGUCCUGUCAAAAGUUGAAGACACAGAUGUGGGUCACGAAAUCUAAUCGGCCAUGCUGGAAAGCGUGUAGGACCACUGGGUUUGGCCCCGAUUAAAUCAGGCUUUCUGUGCACAUUUCUUGAGGGUGCCCCACCCAUCAUGUCGCUCAAGGCCAAGGAAUAAAAACCUGCUUCUCCUGCUAUGUUUCUGGCCUAAAGGGAGAUGCUGGCUCUCCCCCCUUCUUGUCUAAACAUGCUCAGCCUGUCCUGCUGCUCUCUGGAACAAUACGCAGUGUUAAGCUUUGAUUUUAACCCUUUCGGAGCAGUGCAUCUGGUCAUUUCCAGAUGGCUAGGGGGUCGGGGACGGUGCACGGAAGCUGGAAGGCUGGUCUAGGCUGUGUUAUGAACAGGGGGCCAGGAGGGGACCCUGGCCGUGGUUGUGGUCGGUGGAGGGUUCUGGCCCUCCUUAGGGGAGCCCACAUGCUUAGCCGGGGUCCAUGGUGGGACUGGGGACGGGGAGCGUCCAUCCCACCUUCCCCCGGCCGCUGGCUCUCCAUCCAGGCAGCCUCUGCUCAUUACAGCCUACGCACGAGCCCUCAUGAAUGCAGUUGUUUCCUGGGCCACAGAACCACACCCCAGAGAAUGUGGUCCCUCCUCUCCGAGUGUUUACUGUCUAGUUCAGAAGACAGGACACGUGUGAUUGUUACCUAAAGCAGGAUUUCAACAAGUGCGCUUUUAUGAGGGAGGACCUCACAGAGGAAGGGGAACUCAGAAAGGCCAUGUGAGGUUAGGGAAGUGAAGAGACAGGGCUGAGGUCUGCGGGCGGGACAGAGCAGGCUUGGCCACAGUUGGAUCCUGUGAGGUGCAUUCAGCCGGCCAGUAUUGAUCGAACUCCCUCCAGGAGUCCAGUACCAGGAUCAUGCAGAAACCUGACAGAAACAUGAAGCCCUCCACCAUCUGGAACUGAGAAACCCAUUCAAGGCUGACUGCGGCUUCUAGAACGUCCAGGUGUUCUGCAGAUGUGAGAAUUUAUCCUGCUCUCACCAGCUGGAGUCCCGAACAGAUGCAAAGCUUGUGCUGUGGCCCUAACGUCCCUGAGCACAGAGGGGUCGUUUUUGAAGUGGCCAAAGAGCCAUCACUGACACGGGUAUCUGAUUGCCGCACGCGGCUGGUCGGCUGGUCGUCUCUCAGAGCUGCAGGGGGCAAACCAAAUUCGAGGUUGCAAAUUUCCUGACUGUCUUGGAUUAGGAUGCCAGGUGGGGGCCUCAUUUCCACAGCCCCAGCGUCCUUCUAGGCACCCCACCAACACGACCCCCACAACCAGUAUCUCCUUGCAGACUCCACCACUGCUUCUCCAGAGACUCCCUGCACUUUAAGUGAGCAGAAGGAAGCUCUUGGAAAAAUCCUUAGCUGUGGCCCACAGACAGUCAUUGCCCUCCCCUGCCCACCAUGGGCUGGCUUUUUCUAAAGGUUCUCUUCGUGGGGGUGACUUUCCUGGGAUGUCUUUAUCCUCUCGUGGAUUUUUGCUGCAGCGGGGACACAAGAGGCCAGAAGCCGAAUUUUGUGAUCAUUUUGGCAGAUGACAUGGGGUGGGGUGACCUGGGAGCAAACUGGGCAGAAACGAAGGACACUGCCAACCUUGAUGAGAUGGCCGCAGAAGGAAUGAGGUUUGUGGAUUUCCACGCAGCUGCCUCCACGUGCUCCCCCUCCAGGGCCUCCCUGCUCACCGGACGGCUCGGCCUUCGCAAUGGAGUCACGCACAACUUUGCGGCCACUUCCGUGGGGGGUCUUCCGCUCAACGAGACCACCUUGGCUGAGGUGCUGCGGCACGCUGGCUAUGUCACUGGGAUGAUAGGCAAAUGGCAUCUCGGGCACCAUGGAUCUUACCACCCCAACUUCCGCGGUUUUGAUUACUACUUUGGAAUCCCGUACAGCCACGACAUGGGCUGCACCGAUACCCCGGGCUACAACCACCCUCCUUGUCCAGCGUGUCCACGGGGGGACGGGGACGGACCGUCAAGGCCUCCCUUUCCACAAGACGCCAGGUGGCUUCGUGUGCACGUCUCAGGGGGAGAAGUGAAGUGCGAUACGUCUCGUCGCUGCCCUCCUUACCAGCUGCGGCUUGGGGGGCACAUCUGUGGUCACACUUGGACCCACGAGAGGGACUGUUACACGGACGUGGCCCUUCCUCUGUACGAAAACCUCAACAUCGUGGAGCAGCCGGUGAACCUGAGCGGUCUUGCGCAGAAAUAUGCAGAGAAAGCUACCCAGUUCAUCCAACACGCGAGUGCCAGCGGAAGGCCCUUCUUGCUGUACGUGGCCCUGGCUCAUAUGCAUGUACCCUUAUCCGGGACAUGGCUCUCCGCAGACCGACGGGGCCGGAGGCCAUAUGGUGCAGCUCUCCGGGAGAUGGACCGCCUGGUGGGCCAGAUCAAGGACAAAGUCGACCGCACGGCAAGGGAAAACACAUUCCUCUGGUUUACAGGAGACAACGGCCCGUGGGCUCAGAAGUGUGAGCUGGCCGGGAGCGUGGGUCCCUUCACUGGAUCGUGGCAGACUCAUCAAGGGGGAAGUGCAGCCAAGCAGACCACGUGGGAAGGUGGGCACCGGGUCCCGGCUCUGGCCUACUGGCCUGGCACCGUUCCCAUCAACGUCACCAGCACUGCCUUGUUAAGUGUGCUGGACAUCUUCCCCACUGUGGUGGCCCUGGCGGGGGCCAGCCUACCCCAAGACCGGCACUUUGACGGCUUGGAUGCCUCUUCCGUGCUUUUUGGCUGGUCGCAGACUGGGCACCGGGUUCACAUGGAAGUGACUCAAACGCGCUGCUCGGAUGUGGCCCGGUGGUUUGUGACGCGGCCCCCGCCACGGAGCCCCGAGGGGGCCAUCCGUGCUUCCGAGAGCGUUCCUGCAGUUUCUAGGGGUUGUCUGACGCUGCCUGAAAUGCCCUCUGAGCAAGUACUGCUUCUCCCGGGACACCCAACCUUCUAGAGCUGCGCAGGCUUCCAGGCUGAGCCCCACCGCUGGGGAGCUGCAAAGAGCAGGAAGAUGGUUUCCGCCUCCGGACUGGACGUUCGUUCGCAGUGUGUGACCCCGGGGGGUUAUCGAAGACGUCAGUGGAGAGGUGCUCCUGAGUGUUUAUCACCACGGCUACUAAUAGAAUCAUUGGGGUCACCAGGAAGUGCUUCAAGGACUCCGGGCUCCUUGACGCAGCCGCUCCUGCCUGUGGAAGCCAGAACCUUUGCGCUCACUUCCGCUCUCAGAGGGGAGAGCGGUCCCUCUCUCUAGUUGCAGCCCUUUCUUCUGCAGAGUCAUGCUCAGGGCCUAACAGUUACUGGCCUAGUGUCCGACAGGGUUGGUCCUGGCAGGGGGAGUAGAGGCAGGCCCCAACACUGGUUGGGGUUUUCGUGGGGACAGAUGAUGUGUGGUAAGGCGGCUGGAGUGGGGGCUGGCUUGCUCCCUGACCACACCGCAGGGCCCAGAAGGAAACAGCCACCACUUACUGCUUGCAGGAAGCUGCUGAUAGUAUCUUCUAGAGCAAAGGCCCUGGGGUGCUGGCACCUGCAGGCUACACCCAGCCUCCCAGAGCUCUGGAUUCCCUGCAGAGGGCGUGAAGAUGCUGUAGAUGAGAUUGUUUGGAGUUUGAGGGCAACCCAGGUGCUGUUUCACCCCAACAGUGGGGCAGCUGGAGAGUAUGGAGCCCUUCAGACCGUCCGCCUGGAACAACACAAGGCCUUCUACGUCACCG